UUCGCAAUGCCCGAAAGGGUGACGAAGCGACGCCGCGUGCGGGAAGAAGGCCUUCGGGUUGUAAACCGCUGUCGGGAGUUAAGAAAUGUAAGGAUGUUAAUAGCAUCUUUGCUUGACUAAGGCUCCGGAGGAAGCCACGGCUAACUCUGUGCCAGCAGCCGCGGUAAUACAGAGGCGGCAAGCGUUGUUCGGAAUUAUUGGGCGUAAAGAGCACGUAGGCGGCUAUGUAAGUCGGUUGUGAAAGCCUUCCGCUCAACGGGAGAACAGCAUCCGAUACUGCAUGGCUUGAGUGCGGGAGGGGAGAGUGGAACUUCUGGUGGAGCGGUGAAAUGCGUAGAUAUCAGAAGGAACGCCGGCGGCGAAAGCGGCUCUCUGGCCCAUAACUGACGCUGAGUGUGCGAAAGCUAGGGGAGCAAACGGGAUUAGAUACCCCGGUAGUCCUAGCCGUAAACGAUGGGCACUAAGUAGAGGGGUUUU
rnacentral:rRNA from 5 species